CAACACUUGACAUGUUCGUCGCGACUCUAAGAGAUUAGAGUUUUCGGUUCGGCCGGACGAAACACAGGUGCUGCAUGGCUGUCGUCAGCUCGUGUCGUGAGAUGUUGGGUUAAGUCCCGCAACGAGCGCAACCCUCACUUUUAGUUGCCAUCAUUAAGUUGGGCACUCUGAAAGAACUGCCAGUGAUAAGCUGGAGGAAGGUGGGGAUGACGUCAAGUCCUCAUGGCCCUUACGUGUUGGGCUACACACGUGCUACAAUGGUAUCUACAACAGGAAGCAAGACUGCGAGGUCAAGCAAAUCCUCAAAAGAUACCUCAGUUCGGAUUGCACUCUGCAACUCGAGUGCAUGAAGCUGGAAUUACUAGUAAUCGUGGAUCAGCGUGCCACGGUGAAUGCAUUCCC
rnacentral:rRNA from 1 species